ensembl:lncRNA
GUUGAUGCUCAAGACUUCGUGUAUUUCAGUGGAUUAAUAAUUUCAAAUCACAGGCAACUUCUCAGACAGACUUAUCUUUAACAUCACGGACACACUGCUAACAUGGGAGCUGUCCUAGCUAUAGUUAUUGAUGUGGUUGUGGCAGGAGUAGCUGCUGUAGUUGAAGCUGCUGCUACAGAAGCUGCUGCAGCACUUGUAGAGGUUGGAGUGGAGUCUAUUGUGGAGGCUGGAGAAGCUGCAGCCGCCGCAGCAGAGGCAGCAGCAGAAACUGCCGCAGAGGCAGCGGCCGAAGGUGCAGCCGAGGCAGCGAGUGAAACAGCAGCUGAGAUUGCAUCCAGCACCGCAGCACAAAUUGCAGCAAAAAUUUUGACCUAUGUAGCCAAACUUAGCAAACUUAUAAAAGAAACAUUUGAAAUCGAUGCCAUUUUCAAAGCUGCAAUAGAUGUUUUAAAACUAAUGUUGAGUGAUCCUUCAGUUGCUGAAAAAUACAGGAAGCUGGAGAGAGCUGUGACCAUUUUGGAAACACUCAACCAGAAGAUGAAUGAAAUCAUGAAAUGGCUGGAGGUCCAUAAGAAUGACUCUGUUGAACUCGAGGGAAUUGAUGUCCCCUUGGAGUCAGGAAUCCUGGCCAAGUUCCUUCAACAACUCUCAACGGCUCUGGGGAACAUGAAGCGACUAGCAGACGACAUCAACCAACUCAACCAGAGCAAACAACCAAUCAAAGAUGCCCAGAUUAUAACCAUAAACCGCAGCAUGAUCCGUAUUGUGUCAACAUUUGAGUCUCUCGCCCAGUUCAAAGAAGAAAAGCAAAGCAAAAUCGCUGCAUUGGCAUCACUUCCUGUCAGCGUGGAGGAAGCGGAGGAGUGGAAGCGUGAGCUGGGUUCUGAUGGUGGUCCUACUCUUCAGCUCUUACAUCUUACCCUGUACAAAUACAAGUAAAAGGGCAUGGACUGUCCAGAACCAGAAGCGUAAAAUGGUGUCCUGAUUCACUGCCUGUUGUUUCAAUCAGUAUAUACACAAUUCUGAUGAUUUUAUUGUUUUUAAUCAGUAUAUUCUUAGUUAGUUAGUAUUGUUAUAAUUAACUAGUUGGAUUAGGUUAAGAAGUCAAUCUUUUAAUGCUCUGAUAUUUCAGUGUGGCGGUACUGUUUUCAGAUUCCUUUGUGUACGGAAAAUUCAAAGGUAAAAUAAUUUCUAUAACAAUUGCAGUAAAUGUUUUUUGUUGUUGUUCAUUCUGGAUUAACGAUAAAAAUAGAAAAAGAGAGAAAAAGAGAAUAUUUAAAAUUCUCUGAUCAUCAUAUGAUAAUCCUUAUGUUAUUCCUUAGUGUGUAUCCACUAACCUGUGUUAGAAAAGAUGCACCAAUGUUCAAGGACGUGUGUGUGUGUGUGUGUGUGUGUGUGUGUGUGUGUGUGUGUGUGUGUGUGUGUGUGUGUGUGUGUUAGUGUUAGUUUGCUAAAAGACUUCCUUUAUACUCAUAUCAAACACCAGAUGGAUGAUCUGUAGAGUGCCCUUGUUUUGAAAGUGUAUAAAACACUUUGGGUCAAGCUGGAGUCUGGCUCUUGUUACUUUUUUGUAAUAAAAGUCUCAUUUCUUUU